rnacentral:rRNA from 1 species
GACGAACGCUGGCGGCGUGCUUAACACAUGCAAGUCGAACGGAAAGGCCCUGCUUUUGUGGGGUGCUCGAGUGGCGAACGGGUGAGUAACACGUGAGUAACCUGCCCUUGACUUUGGGAUAACUUCAGGAAACUGGGGCUCAUACCGGAUAGGAGCUCCUGCUGCAUGGUGGGGGUUGGAAAGUUUCGGCGGUUGGGGAUGGACUCGCGGCUUAUCAGCUUGUUGGUGGGGUAGUGGCUUACCAAGGCUUUGACGGGUAGCCGGCCUGAGAGGGUGACCGGCCACAUUGGUACUGAGAUACGGCCCAGACUCCUACGGGACGCAGCAGUGGGGAAUAUUGCACAAUGGGCGGAAGCCUGAUGCAGCAACGCCGCGUGCGGGAUGACGGCCUUCGGGUUGUAAACCGCUUUCGCCGGUGACGAAGCGGGAGUGACGGUAAUGGGUAAAGAAGCACCGGCUAACUACGUG